rnacentral:sRNA from 1 species
UCGAACGUUUUCGAAUCAAAUCAGCCA